CCUACGGGUGGCAGCAGUGGGGAAUAUUGCACAAUGGGGGGAACCCUGAUGCAGCGACGCCGCGUGAGUGAAGAAGUAUUUCGGUAUGUAAAGCUCUAUCAGCAGGGAAGAAGAUGACGGUACCUGACUAAGAAGCCCCGGCUAACUACGUGCCAGCAGCCGCGGUAAUACGUAGGGGGCAAGCGUUAUCCGGAUUUACUGGGUGUAAAGGGAGCGUAGACGGCAGGGCAAGUCUGGAGUGAAAGCCCGGGGCCCAACCCCGGGACUGCUUUGGAAACUGCCAUGCUGGAGUGCGGGAGAGGUAAGCGGAAUUCCUAGUGUAGCGGUGAAAUGCGUAGAUAUUAGGAGGAACACCAGUGGCGAAGGCGGCUUACUGGACAGUAACUGACGUUGAGGCUCGAAAGCGUGGGGAGCAAACAGGAUUAGAUACCCUAGUAGUC
rnacentral:rRNA from 1 species